rnacentral:lncRNA from 1 species
AAACAGUUAUUCUGACUCAGAGUUCUGAGAUAAUUGUUAUUAAUUUUGAAUGUUACAAGCUAUAGUAUACUGGAGAGAUAUAGACGCCAGAACUGUUUUAUGAUUAUGGGACAAAUGUAACGUCUGAUUAUAUGAAAGAAAGGAACAAUCAUUUAUUAUGUGCCAACUGUAUGCCCGGUAUUAUACUAAACACUACAAAUAUCAUAUCAUUGGAUCCCACAGCUACCCUGGGAGUUUCUCCCAUAGUAUCAAAGACAUCUCCCAGGAAACCUAGUCCUUGGCUGGAUCCUUCCCUUUUGCAUCAACCUCUCACUGAUAAUCCUGUCUUGGACUUCUCAUUUCCUUGUAGCCAUGGUAAUGUCAAUCAAUCAUACUUCCUGAUCUUUAUUUCCUCAAAUGGUAUAUAAGUUCCCCAAGUUCUAUUGUUCUUUAGAGAAAACAUCUAGCAAGGUGUCUUCUCCCAGGGAUACAUUCCCAGAUUCCUCAGGGUGUAGGCUCUGUGAAGUCUUUGUUGCUGGCCUCUGUGUAGAGGCCAAUUAUUGGACCUAUCCCUCUCCUGAUUAAAGACUUGGUUUUUCUGACUACUUUAGUAGUUCUGUGUUUUUUUUUUCCAAGUUAUCAAGGAUAAGUAACUCCAAACAUAGCCAAGGGAUAAAGUUUAAAGAGCUAGAAACUAGGCAGGGAAGGGAAAGAGAGAGAAUGUGCUCAUUUGAAAGGAAUACUAGAGGGUUUUUUUUAAUGAUAAAUAGACAUGUUUGUGGUUAUUCCACCAAUUAAAAUAAGAUCUUUUUGAAGUAUGGAGGUAUAAAUAUACUUAUACAAUAUUUUGCUUUGUUUCACUACAUAAUACUGCAGUAUUUACUGUAUUUUACUACCUUUUUAUGUAAUGCAUAAUAGUCUAUGGAUAAAUUAUUUUCGUAUUCUUACUUUGUCUGUAUAAAUUUUUUUUCAUAUUUUUCUAGAUUUCUCUGAAUUCUUCAUAUUCAUCCUCUCUUACAGGGGUUAUAUAGACUAACAGCCUAUUUUACAAUGUUGCCUGUGGCCAGCCUAUGUGGGCCUGUCAUAGCAAUGCUGCUUAACUUUUGAAGGGCAAAGUUAAUAUAUUGCCAUCAUAAAAGGGCUCUAUCUCAAGUGAAAAUUGCACGAUAGGCUCUCAUUUGCCCACGCUUUGGGGUCCUUCUUUUACAGAUGAACUAAUUACUUCUUCACUACUACCAUUAUCUUAAGCUAUGGACCAUGGCUUUAACCUCCACUUCAUGAAUCCUAUCUAUAGCUACUCCAGGAUAAAAAAGACCACAAAUACUCUCACAGUUAAUUACAAAAUCCUACCUAUAGGACUUGAGUGAAUUUACUCAUUUUCCUACUUUCUCUGCUAGAUCUUACCUGGGUAGGGCUGCCAGAGAAAUAAAGGCCAAGGACAAAUGACUAGGGUACA